rnacentral:guide_RNA from 1 species
GUGGGUUAGUAGGUAGGUAUAACACGAACAAACAAAAUAA